rnacentral:rRNA from 1 species
UACAGAGGUCUCAACCGUUGUUCGGAUUCAUUGGGCGUAAAGGGUGCGUAGGCGGUCGAGUAAGUCGGAUGUGAAAUCCCAGGGCUCAACCCUGGAACUGCAUUCGAUACUGCCUGGCUAGGGUACUGGAGAGGAGACUGGAAUUUACGGUGUAGCAGUGAAAUGCGUAGAUAUCGUAAGGAAGACCAGUGGCGAAGGCGAGUCUCUGGACAGUUACCGACGCUGAGGCACGAAGGUCAGGGGAGCAAACGGG